rnacentral:misc_RNA from 1 species
AUCUCAAAACGGCCCUGCAAAGAAAAAAGUCAAAAAAUAAAUAAAUAAACCCCCCUGAAAGACAUACAGGUUCCAAACAAUCAAACAUAAUUGAUAACAAUUAGCUAGUGUCUAGUUUCAUUCCAAUCACGGUGAUAAAAUUAUAGGCACCUUGAUGGGACAGACCCAUUGAUUAGUGUGAAAACCUCUCUUUCACAUGCACAUGCAGGCAUGCAAACGCAAUUCAAACAUUGAUCCAUUCGCAUUUCAAACAAACACAAAUAUCAACAAACAUACAUUUACUGAAGGCAUGAAGAUGUCGUGUACAGUGAGCAGUGGCAAAAUAAAAGCACAGUAAUACAUGCCUUGGAACAUUUUGCUUAUAGCCAAAAGCCACCACGUAGUGGCAGAUGCAUACAUCUGAUAUGGUCAUACCCUGCAGUUCUCUCUUCUUCUUUUUUU